rnacentral:lncRNA from 1 species
UUAUUUAAAAGAUCAUCCUUUCCUCACUGUACUGCAUUAGAACCUUUGUUAUAAACCAAGUAACUACUUGUAUGUUUGUCUUUUUCUGCAUUUUUUAUUUUGUUCAAUCUGUCGAUUUAUCUGUCUUUGCACUAAUUUCACACUUUCUUGAUUGCUGUGUCUUACAUAUAUGUAAUGAAGUGACUGAGAAAGUAGCAAAUACAGACUACCCAAAUACCACAAGUGAUCCUGUCCAGGAGAUAUGAUUUUCCAAAAUACUGAACAGAACUUUGGAAAGUGUUGAUCAUGUGUUUACUUCCAAAUCCACGUCAGAUGGAAAUCUGGCAUUGCAAAUGUGACUAGUAGACUGGACAUUGCUGAGGAAAGAAUCAGUGAGCUUGAAGAUACAUCAGCGGAAACUUUCAAAAUUAAUAUGCAAAGAGAAAAAAGAAUGAAAAAAUGGAACUGAAAUAGAAUAUCCAAAAGCUAGUUAAUGAACCUACCUUAUACCACAAUCAAAUCCUCAAUGGCAUCAAAUGGAAUACAAGAAAGAGAAAAUCA